AUUGGACGCUGGCGGCAUGCCUUACACAUGCAAGUCGAACGGUAACAGGUCUUCGGAUGCUGACGAGUGGCGAACGGGUGAGUAAUACAUCGGAACGUGCCUAGUAGUGGGGGAUAACUACUCGAAAGAGUGGCUAAUACCGCAUGAGAUCUAUGGAUGAAAGCAGGGGAUCGCAAGACCUUGUGCCACUAGAGCGGCCGAUGGCAGAUUAGGUAGUUGGUGGGAUAAAAGCUUACCAAGCCGACGAUCUGUAGCUGGUCUGAGAGGACGAUCAGCCACACUGGGACUGAGACACGGCCCAGACUCCUACGGGAGGCAGCAGUGGGGAAUGUUGGACAAUGGGCGCAAGCCUGAUCCAGCAAUGCCGCGUGCAGGAUGAAGGCCUUCGGGUUGUAAACUGCUUUUGUACGGAACGAAAAGCCCUGGGUUAAUACCCCGGUUAGAUGACGGUACCGGAAGAAUAAGCACCGGCUAACUACGUGCCAGCCGCCGCCGUAAGAC
rnacentral:rRNA from 1 species